rnacentral:lncRNA from 1 species
GGGUGGAUGGAGGCCAAAGGUUGGCCCCUUGGAGACAGCCUUGGGGUGCAGCCAGCUCUGCCACCUCUCCCUGGCUUCCUUCCCUCCAACCUGUGACUCCUGGGAUGUCCCUGAUGGGCCAGCCACUUGGGACCGGGAAGUAACUGUGGUGUGUGGUGGUCACCCUCACCAGAGUUCAUGGGGUGGAGCAAGGGGGACAGAAUCUCCCCCAAAAUCAGGUGUCUUGUUCCCAGGCCCAGCACAGAGACCUGGCCCCCAGACAUCUCUGGACAUUUGUUAAGAGUGGACGACUGCUUCCUUUACACAGGAGAGGAAAUCGAGGCUCUAAGGGGUCUCAGACUUGCCUGGCUGCUACAGUGAGCAGGCAACAAAUGCCAAGUGGCUGCCACAAUGGGGUAGGUGGGAGGCAGUGGCUGAACCAGAAAGUGCUGCUGUCGAUUCUGCUAGUUGCGUGAGUCUUAGGAGAUGAUUAAAGGGCAGAUUGUGGGGAGAUAAAAAGUAUGAGUGGGGAACAGGACUAGGGGGAGCGGAAGAGCCUCAAAGACCCUGCGACAUUCUCAACGUCUCGAUGGUGACUCAGAGAUAGCUCCAACCCGCAUGGCGUGCAGAGUGCGGAGGGGAUGGCUUUGUGUCUGGAUUAGUCAUCCCCGUGCAACUCACCCCAAAUCCCGGCUUCCAGCCCUGGGCCAUCCAUGCCGGGACGGAGGAAGGGCAGCCUCUCCCCAGGGCCACAUCCUGGAGCCUGAUGACCCUGGCCAGCACACAGCUGAAAGCAGCCCACUGUGCAAAUGGUGCAUGAGACAGGGAGUCGGCUCUGUGUUCCCCACGGUGGCCAAAGGACCAGCUGUGCCUCAGUUUCCCUUAUUCUAUCAUACUUUGAAGAAGGUCCCUGUAAAAGCGCAUCUAUUUUCAGGGUAGGGGCCAGAGUCAGCCACCCACACAAGAGUGGGAAUUGGUGGGUGCCCUAGCCCUGGCAGGAUCUGGCAUUUUGCUGGACGGAGAGAGGAGGCGGCACCCACUGGGGCUCGGGCAACCAUCCCGGCUACCCCCGCCCCAGCCCGCCAGGAGAGGAGGGAAGCCUUGAAGUGCCAGGCCUUUGAAUCGCGCAUCUCCAUGGCAACGCGUGGGCACAAAGGGCCGGGCCGGCAAGCAGGCGGCGGCUGCGCAAGCUGGAAGGAGGAAGGGAAUCUUUUAUUUAUGGGGAGGGAGAGUCGGGGAGCCAGGCUGUGCCCACGCUCAGGGCCAGGCCGCAGUCUUGAGGCUGGGCCCCCUGCCCCAUAGCCAGGGCCUCUGAGCAGCACCCACCCACACACCCCUGACCCUCCGGGCCCAGCUGGGUGGACGGAGCAUGGGCAAAUGGAGGGCAGAAUGGAGUGAGCGUCCAGCAUGCACUCAACCUGGAGAGCGGCCCAGAGGGUCCCUGGGAGCCUGCCAUCCUCCAUACCCCAGUCUCUGUGAUGCGGGCACCCGGGCAGAUACCAUGCUGAGAGCCAGCUGGGCCUGCAAUGAGGAAACACGGCCCAAAGCAGACUCUGCAGAGCUGGAACUCAGGUGGGGCUGCUGCCAUAGGCUCUGAAGACAGGGCAGGAGACUGGGAGGGGCCACCAUGCCAAGGCCCUGAGGCAAGCCGGAGCUGGGAGCAUCUGAGGAUGGGCAUUAGCGCGGGGCUCCAGGGUACAGCCGGUCCACUGCAGGCAGCCUGGCCUCCCCAGAGACCCAGCCACAGCUCCUCACCUUGGACAGGGGGCCCUGGGCCUUGGGCAUCAAAUGACCCGCCUACCGUGGGAGAGGCUGCCACACCAGGAUGCCGGCCCACGGCCUCCAGCGGCCCAUCCCCACCUUCCCAAGCCCCUCCCCUCAUGGCUCACACCCCGUUCCCUGAGCCCCCAAACAUGGGAAAUGGCACCUAUUGUGCCCCAGCGGGGGAAUUCUGACCCCAGACCCUGGGGGCAGUGCAGAAACCACCACUGAGUCAGAUUUUAUUUCAUCUAAAAAAUAUCUGAGCCAGAUUAAAAGGAGUGGGGAAAGGAUCCCAUGGCUGCUUCUCCCAGCCCCACCCUCCACAGGGGCCCUGGCCCCUCCCAGCCCCAUUUCUUUCCUUGAGAAUGUCUAAAGUAGGGCAAUAUUUUGUGAAAUUGGAGGCACCGCGUUGGAAAUUCCAAACCUGUGUGUACGAUGAGCUGCACGCACAUUUCGAACCUGCCCUGGUUUUGAGCUGAGGGAAGUGGAACAUGCAGGAGUUGCCCACUCCAGAGGCCCUGGGUGUGUGUGAGGAGCCCUGAGGCUGGGCCGAGAGCAGCUUGUGGGAGGCACUGUGCCCCCUGCCCCCGAGAUCAGGGCCUGGGUGCCCAGGACACUACAGGGCAGCCUGGGGGGAGCCUGGGGGUUGGGAAGCCUAGAGCUGGGACCCACAGGCCAGAGUCUGAGCUUUCAUCCCCCAGCCCCGAAGACGCUCCCCCAGCCACUGUCUGCGCAUCAGGGGAGACAGACUCCCCCCACGCCCACCUUGCCUCCAGCAGGGCUGUUCCUCCCCUCAUCUGCUGGAAUCAGUUUUUUCUUUAACUGAGCCCCAUGGUGGGGAAGGGAGAGCUCCAGGGGACCAGGCAGCAGAGAGGGGAGGGGAGAAGCCAUCAAACAGGCCGGGGGCUGGGGGGCCGUGCACUCAGCACAGAGCCCCACACAGCAGGAGGGGGCUGGGUGGCCAGCUUAGAGCCCAUCCUCUCCUGGACACUGUUCUGGAAUGGCCCCUGGCCCCUCCGUUCCAAAGACGGGACCCUCUGGCCCAGGACCCCGGAUGAUGUCCCCAAAUCACCUCUCUUCCCAGACCUCCUCAAUGGCAAUGAAUGGUGCAUCCUGGCUGUGGCCGCCGCCCCUCACUGUGAGACUUCAGCCCAGACGAGCGCCCAGCCCCUCCUGGGGUCUCAGAUACUCCGAAUGAAAGGCUCACAGCUGCCAUGCACUUCCACAGGACUUUAUGGUUCCUCCUCCACCUCCAGUGACACUUUCAUCUCUCCCCAGCUCCAUUCCAGAGGCCAGAAAACCAUGAUGUUUGGGGUCAAACAGCUGGGAGAGGCAGUUGGAACUCAGGUCAGGCCCGUCUGACUGGACUGUGCUGAGACUGGGACCUGCUCCCCUACAAGUGCUGUCAGGGCACCCUUGAUGCCCCCCAGAGCUUGCCAUGCCCCAACAGUCCAUUCAUGGCCAAAGUGUCCCCUGGCACAGGAUACCCUGGGGUGCCAUGUCUGCAAGAGCUCACACCCUUCUCUCCCCAGAUGCUGCUAACUGCUGCCAGGGGUGGGAGUGUGGAGGGCUCAGGGCCUCUUCACCCUCCCUGCACCAACUCAGCUCCAGAACACUCCCAGCAGUGAGAAGAGGGUGGCUACUGUGCUGCAGCCCCAAGGGAUGGGCAAGGCCAUGCCAGCUGGAGUCAUCCAUGUCCCCUCGGACAUAGUGGCCUCAUUCAGAGGGCAGCAUGGACAAGGGUGCAAUGAGGGCGGCUACCAGGGACAGUGGAGAUGAGGCGGUCAGGAAGCCCAGGGACGGGCCUGGAGGGACACAUGGCCAGCCUGGGACAGGGCAUGAGGCCUUUGUUCUGCGUGCUGUGGCAUACCGGUGUUGGCUCUGGCCCUGGCCCAUCUUUUGUUAGUGGUGGGCUCAGCUCUGUCCUUGGGGCUCCCUCAGCCCAGGGGCCCACCUCCCCUCUGGGCAGUCCCGAUCAACGCGUUCUGCCUCAGCCAGCUGUCAGCCACCUGCAGCUCCUCCCUCAUUGCACCACCCUGGAGCAUCACGGUGCCCGGGGCAGGCCGUGGAGACCUGGCUAGCCCAUGGUCUGCUCAGUCCUCACCAGCUGUUGUGACAGAAACAAGUCUGUGCCGAUGAGCUGAGCCGACCAGGCUGCAGCCCUCACUUUGGGAGAGGGUCAGGCCUAGCCAGGCCUGGUGAGCAGGUGUGGGGAAGGAUGGGUGCUCAUGUGCGGGAGUUUCUCAGAGUGGUGGAAGGAGGAUGGACAAUGGGGCCCAGCGGAUAGGGCAGGGAGGCAGGAAGAAGGGAUGGAGAGGGGACCAGUGAAGGAGAGUGGAGGGCACUGCCCCCGUGGGGCAGGACGGGGUGGGGCUGGUGUUAGCUGGGGUUGGGUGUGUGGGUCUGGCAGGGAGCCGGGCAUGGGAGCGGGUCCCGAGGAGUGCGAGGUUGGAGCCAGGACCAUGGGCCUCACCAAUCAUAGAAGCCUCACCUCAGGGCAGAGGGGGCUGACAGACUGGGCUGACGAGAAGGGGGGCUUCCUGUCACCAGAGAACACAAAGGGACCACUAGUGGCCUGGGCCAUGAGGCUCUGUGGCCCUCAAGGUGCUGAGCUCGAGGUGGGCCCAGCCCAUGGCUACCUUUGUGGGGACCCCACAGGGAGAGGCUGGCCUCUGAGGAUGCUCACACCUGGUUCAGCGUGGCCAGGCCCUGGCCCAGCCCAAGGUCAGCACUGGCCACUACCUGGUGCUGAGUCUCCGUCUCACCCUGUGCCAUGGUGCCCACACUAUGAGCCAGUGUCAACCCUUUGCCCAUACCCCGGGAGCCUUGUGUGUCCAUACUCAUGGCUGAGUGCCUGGGGUGGGGGUCUCUGCAUUGGGGGAGGUGGGUCCAGGGUGUGUGGCCCCUGAGAUUGUCCAUCAUGAGUGCCACCUGGAAGGUGCUGGAGCCUCACCCUGUCCUCCAGGGCCUGGAGUGUUUUGGGGAGAUCCUGUGCUGGCAUCUUGGCUGGGCCAGGAUGGUGUCUAGGAGGGAUCCUUGGGAGGGAAGCAGGGGCAUCAGGGGGCCUGGUGCUGGGGUGGGUGGCAGGAGAGGCCUGGAGGGCAGUGGCCCAGGCCAGUGGCUGGGCAGGUGUCAGGAGGGGGAGGAUGAGGUCUGGCCUCCCUGUGGCAGCUGAGGCCAGGGCCUGGGGUGUCCUGGGGUGGGACAAGGCCCAGGGCGGAGGCAGAGCCGCUUGCAUGCAGGGUGGACAUAUCCCCGCCUGGUGACGCCGGCGCUCAGUUCUGCGGCCCUCCUGCUGCCCUCCACCGGCCAUCUCUGUCCUGCAGGCCCAGCCGUCUACCUGCGGGUCUGGACAGACCCUCAGAGCCCAGGCUGGGAGGUCUCAGGAGCCAAGACGGGGUUGAAUCCCAUUUGAGGGCAUCUGAAGGAGUGAGAGCCCAUGUCAACCCCCUGCCCAGCCUUGCCCUCGGCCAGCAGCUCCUGGGGGACUCUGGUGGGCAGUGGCUAAAGAUGACAGAGGGGCUCAGAGAGGCUGAGCUGCUGUGUAAGGUCGCACAGUGAGCAGGGGCCAAAUGGCCUAGGGAGAGGCAGCAGCAAGAGGGUCCUCGGCAUGGCCACAGCCCAGGGACAGGAAACCCUGCUGGGUUCCCCAACAAGUAGCUCCCAUUCCCAGCCCUUAGGGUGUCUCAGGAGAGGUUCCGGGGAGGGUCCCAUCUGCCUCCUGCCUUCUCCCCCAAACACACCCUAAAUAGGUCCCUGCUCCCCAGCCCCUCCCACCAAGAGCUCACCCACCAGAGCUGGGGGAGAGGCCCUGCAGGGCAGCUGUUUCUCCAUGUGCUGCAGUCCUCUGGACACUGAAAGCCAGUCGCAUCCAUCUUAAUGGCAUUUAAUAUGCACAGUGAAAGUCAGCAGCCACAAGCCACGGGCGUGUGCUCAGAGCAAGGUUUACACGCAGAUGCCACCAGGCUUGGCCCAUGAGUGCCUCCUGGGUCCCAGGAGGAGUGGGGGUGGGGGUGCAGCUGGGUGGACUAUUGGUAGCAGAGACUGGGGAGGGGAAGUGGGAGGUAGGAACUGGGCUAGGCAGGGACUCGGGGGCGCUGAGGCCUGGAAUAGGGAGGCUGAGACCUCAAGGAGACUGGGACAUUGGGAGUCAAGACUUGGGGAAGCUGGGACAUGGGGCAGGGCCGAGACGCAGGGGUUUAAGAAUGAGGGUCUGGUGCGGACCUGAGUUGGAACCCAGCUGCUGCUGGCCCCAAGUAGCUGGAGAGUGUGCUGACCCCACGGUGGCUGGAGAAUGUGCUGUUGAUAUGGAAGGCAAGUGCUGGAAGGGAAAAGUUGGUCCAUUAAAUGAUACGGAAGCGGGGAAGGAAGUGUUGGGUAGAGGAGGGCGUGUCCCUGACUAGGGCCCAACCUCACGGACCUAGGUGAGGAGUAGGCACUUCCUGCCUAAAUGUUGCAUUCUCAGGACCACCCUGGCCUGCCACACCCCCAUCUUGUGCUUAUAAAACCCCCCCACCCCACCCCGAGACCUUAGCAGGCAGACACAGGCAGCUGGACGUGGAGAGGAGCACAUCAGCGGACACACACAUGGCAGCUGGAUGUCGGGAUGACGCACUGAUAGCACCACCAUGCUGGCAGGCCACCGACUGGCAGAACCACACGGAGUUUGGCUGGGGCAGUUGGAGGAGAGCCCGGGUGCAUAGCGGCCCCACUCCAGGGGAAAACCUUCCCAAUCCAUCCCUUUCUGGCUUCCCCUAUCUGCUGGGAGCCACCCUCCACUCAGUAAAACCUUGCACUCAUUCUCCAAGUCCACAUGUGAUCUGAUUCUUCUGGUACACAAAAGGCAAGAACCCCGGAUCCAGAAAGCCCUCUGACUAACACAAGCCACCCUACAGAUGACAAACUAAAAGAGCCCCCGUAACACAUCCCCACUGGGGCUUCAGUUGUAAAACAUUCACCCCUAGACACUGCUGUGGGUCGGAGCCCCACAACCUGCCCAUCUGUAAGCAGCCCUAGAGGUUUGGCAGGGGCACUGAAGAAGCGAGCCACUCCCUUUCUCACAUACCCUGCUAGGGCAACAAGGGAACUUUUUCCGUUUCACUGGCCCAAGGUGGCUGCACAGUGUGCUGGCCCCACGGUAGCUGGAGAGUGUGCCAUGCUCCCUGGCUUUCCUCCUGAUGUAUAAAAUGGGUUAGCAGAUCCUGGGGGCUGUUCCCACAGUGAUGUGGUGGAGGCUGACCCUGACACCCACCCCUGCUGAAUGCUCAGUGAAUGGUGGUCACUGUCAGGAAACGCCAUUGCUGUCCUCCAUCAGUGUCUGUGGGGCUGGGUGACUCUUGGAGAUGCCUCCAGCAACGUUGCACUGCCGGACAGAGGCCGUCCACCUGCCUCUGGGCUCCUGGUGUGAACAGAUAGAUGGAUGGGUGGCCUGCUGCAUGCAUGCAGGGAGCUGAGGCUGGGUCUUCACCUAUGGGCAAGAGGCUAUGCAGGGCUCAGGGAAAGACAGCACUGUGGCUAGGACAGAGCCCAUGAUAAUGAGACACCCUUGGUGCCCCAGGCCUCCCUCCUCGCUCCUGCCCCUCCAGGACAUCACCAGAGCCCCCCUUUGCUCUUUUGGGGGGAUGUCUGGCUGUCUGUGGUUGCUGUCACUCUUGAUCCCACCCACCCCUGCUGGUUGCUGCAGGACAAGACAGGAGUCAUCUCAUGGCUUUCCCUGGGAUCUCUGUAUCCGCUGAGAACUGGAGCUGCACACAGCCUGUCCAGCAUCCUGGGAACUCACCCUGUUGCUGCGUCUGUCCUGGGUCUCCUGGGCUCACUCCUUGCCAUUCAGAUCCCCUGUGAGGAGAGCACUGGCUGUGAGUUGCUCUGUGGGCUAGUGAUGGCGAGGCAGGGCUGGAGUGAUCCAUCACGAAUAGUUCUUUUUUUUUUUUU